rnacentral:rRNA from 1 species
UACGUAGGAUGCAAGCGUUAUCCGGAAUCACUGGGCGUAAAGCGUCCGCAGGGGGGAAUGUAAGUCUUUUAUUAAAUCCCGAUGCUCAACAUCGGAUCGGUAAGAGAAACUACAUUUCUAGAGGAUGGGAGAGGCUAGUGGAAUUCUCGGUGUAGGGGUAAAAUCCGUAGAUAUCGAGAGGAACACCAAAAGCAGAAGGCAGCUAGCUGGAACAUUCCUGACCCUCAGGGACGAAAGCGUGGGGAGCGAAAAGG